rnacentral:tRNA from 1 species
UGAGGUAAAGUGUAAAGCACAUUAGACUUUGAAUUUAAAAGUAAAACCUCAA